ACACCAAGAUUUGUUGACUUUUUUUUUUUUUCUCUCUAUUAUUACGCGAGUAUAUAAUCUUCCAGAAAAAUAGGAAGACUCAUUCAUUGGAGCGUAGAAUUUUGCGUGUUUGAAUCUUUGAUUUUCAAUUAUAUUCAAUUUCGUCAUAGCGUGCGCGGUGCGCGGGUAUUAAAACGGUAAAAAUUUUAGGCUUCAACAAUUUUCCAGGGUCUUCAUCGUAAUUACGCAUGAAUAGUUGACAGUGUGAGAAACCUAUAAUUUCUACGUUUAUAAUGGAUAAAUAUGAAGUUUUUAACUGGUUUGGAUAUGUAAUUAAGACGGUUUGAUCGUCUCGAAGAUCUAUUUUCGGAAAAUUUCACUCAAAUCUGGCAGCGGCCGAUUCGUCCGAGCGAUUUUACACGUUGAAACCUAAAAACGCUAGUUACUAUCGACGGAUGGAUUUUUACCUGGGGUCUCGCAGCCAGGUGUACAAGCCAAUAUUCAGCAUCACCGGGAACCUUAGCGGUGCAUUUCAGCUCGUCUUGACUUGAUCCCAGGAAGUAGCCUCUCUGAAUAUUCUUCAGAGCCCACCUACCGUUUCCUGAAAUGAUGAGACAAAAGAGAAAAAAAAAUUAGAUCACAAGACGGUUGCCAAUCAAUGUGCACAUCAGGAUCAGGCCACACUAACGGAUCGAUGGAAUAUGUUGCCGAUUAUGUAUAUGCAUACGAGUUCCAUCGUGAGAUUUAAUAAAGUUUCAUUCACGUAAUAA